rnacentral:rRNA from 1 species
UACGAAGGGGGCGAGCGUUGUUCGGAAUUACUGGGCGUAAAGGGCGCGUAGGCGGCGCGAGAAGUCAGGCGUGAAAGCCCCGGGCUCAACCUGGGAGGUGCGCUUGGGACUCUUGUGCUUGAGUUCGGGAGAGGAGCGUGGAAUUCCCAGUGUAGAGGUGAAAUUCGUAGAUAUUGGGAAGAACACCGGUGGCGAAGGCGGCGCUCUGGACCGAGACUGACGCUGAGG